UCUCAAGGUUGGAAGACCUGACAGUGUUCAGGAGCAGCAUUCUGGUACAGCUGUGUGUCAGUCCGCUGUGUGUCAGUCCGCUGUGUGUCAGUCCGCUGUGUGUCAGUCAGCUGUGUGUCAGUCCGCUGUCUGUGUGUCAGUCAGCUGUGUUUCAGUCAGCUGUGUGUCAGUCAGCUGUGUGUCAGUCAGCUGUGUGUCAGUGAGCUGUGUGUCAGUCAGCUGUGUGUCAGUCCUCUGUGUGUCAGUCCGCUGUGUGUCAGUCAGCUGUGUGUCAGUCCGCUGUGUGUCAGUCAGCUGUGUGUCAGUGAGCUGUGUGUCAGUCAGCUGUGUGUCAG
ensembl:lncRNA